rnacentral:rRNA from 1 species
GAUGAACGCUGGCGGCGUGCCUAAUACAUGCAAGUCGAGCGAAUGGAUUGAGAGCUUGCUCUUAUGAAGUUAGCGGCGGACGGGUGAGUAACACGUAGGUAACCUGCCCAUAAGACUGGGAUAACUCCGGGAAACCGGGGCUAAUACCGGAUAAUAUUUUGAACUGCAUGGUUCAAAAUUGAAAGGCGGCUUCGGCUGUCACUUAUGGAUGGACCCGCGUCGCAUUAGCUAGUUGGUGAGGUAACGGCUCACCAAGGCAACGAUGCGUAGCCGACCUGAGAGGGUGAUCGGCCACACUGGGACUGAGACACGGCCCAGACUCCUACGGGAGGCAGCAGUAGGGAAUCUUCCGCAAUGGACGAAAGUCUGACGGAGCAACGCCGCGUGAGUGAUGAAGGCUUUCGGGUCGUAAAACUCUGUUGUUAGGGAAGAACAAGUGCUAGUUGAAUAAGCUGGCACCUUGACGGUACCUAACCAGAAAGCCACGGCUAACUACGUGCCAGCCGCCGCCGUAA